rfam:Candidate division NC10 bacterium RIFCSPLOWO2_02_FTLL_66_22 rifcsplowo2_02_scaffold_3442, whole genome shotgun sequence.
GGUCAAGCUACUAAGGGUAUACGGUGGAUGCCUUGGUACCAGCAGGCGAUGAAGGGCGUGGUAAGCUGCGAUAAGCCCCGGGUAGUCGCACACAGACGCCAAUCCGGGGAUUCCCGAAUGGGGCAACCCCUCCCGGCUAAUCCCGGGAGAUCCUGUCCUGAAUCCAUAGGGGCAGGAAGCCAACGCGGGGAACUGAAACAUCUCAGUACCCGUAGGAAGAGAAAGCAACCGCGAUUCCCCCAGUAGCGGCGAGCGAACAGGGAAUAGCCCAAACCGCCGUCACGUGAUAGCCCGCAAGCGUUGUGACGUCGGGGUCGCGGGACCUGACCGGUUUCGAUUGCGGUCGGAACGGGGAGUCACAAAUCCCACGCGUAACCGAAGCGCCUGGAAAGGCGCACCACAGAAGGUGACAGUCCUGUAGGGUAAACGUGUGGGACUCCCUGGGUCGGGCUCCCAAGUACCACGGGACACGUGGAAUCCUGUGGGAAUUUGGGGGGACCACCCUCCAAGGCUAAAUACUUGCUGGUGACCGAUAGUGGACCAGUACCGUGAGGGAAAGGUGAAAAGCACCCCGAGAGGGGAGUGAAAUAGUACCUGAAACCGUAUACCUACAAGCAGUCGGAGCCCUAUGUCGUCGCCUCGUGCGGCGACAGGGUGACGGCGUGCCUUUUGCUUAAUGAGCCGGCGAGUUACCGUACGUAGCAAGGUUAAGCCGAUCAGGCGAAGCCGGAGCGAAAGCGAGUCCGAAUAGGGCGAUUGAGUUGCGUGCGGUAGACCCGAAGCCAGGUGAGCUAUCCUUGGCCAGGGUGAAGUGGCGGUAACACGCCAUGGAGGCCCGAACUCAUCACGGUUGAAAACGUGUGGGAUGAGCUGAGGAUAGGAGUGAAAGGCCAAUCAAACCUGGAGAUAGCUGGUUCUCCCUGAAAUAGCUCUAGGGCUAGCCUCGGAGGGUCAGCAGCGGCGGUAGAGCACUGGAUGAGCUAGGGCUCUUACCAGGGUACCGACCUCAACCAAACUCCGAAUGCCGCUGACUGCACUCCGGGAGUCAGACUACGGGGGCUAAGCUCCGUGGUCGAGAGGGAAACAGCCCAGAUCGCCAGCUAAGGUCCCCAAAUGCAGGCUAAGUGGGAAAGGCUGUCACAUCGCUGAGACAACCAGGAGGUUGGCUUAGAGGCAGCCAUCCUUUAAAGAGUGCGUAACAGCUCACUGGUCAAGUGACGUGGCGCCGACAAUGUAACGGGGCUCAAGCCUGCUACCGAAGCUGCGAAUUCCGCCUCUGGCGGAGUGGUAAGGGAGCGUUCUGCCGCCAGCGAAGCCGGACCGGAAGGACCGGUGGAGGUUGCAGAAGCGAUUAUGCCGGCCCGAGUAGCGAUAAUCUCGGUGAAAAACCGGGACGCCGUAAGUCUAAGGUUUCCUGGGGAAGGUUAAUCCGCCCAGGGUUAGUCGGUACCUAAGCCGAGGCCGAAAGGCGUAGGCGAUGGACAACAGGUUAACAUUCCUGUACCACCGGACGGCGACAAAGACGCAAUGGGGGGACGCAGGAGGGUAGGUCAUCGCGCGAUCGGAUGUGCGCGUCUAAGCCCGUAGGGGGCUCCGAUAGGCAAAUCCGUCGGGGCGCAUUCCCUGAGAGGUGAUGGGGAUCCUUUUCUACGGAAGAGGAGAACUGACUGAUCCCACGCUGCCUAGAAAAACCUCUAGCGAGCCGUCAGGUGACCGUACCGCAAACCGACACAGGUAGACGGGGAGAGCAUCCCAAGGCGCUCGAGAGAACACGCGUUAAGGAACUCGGCAAAAUGUCCCCGUAACUUCGGGAGAAGGGGAACCGACCGCUGUCAGCAGCUUCGCGCUGCGAAGCGGCGGACGGUCGCAGAGAAUCAGGCCAACCGACUGUUUACUAAAAACACAGGUGGGUGCGAAGCCGCAAGGCGCUGUAUACCCACUGACGCCUGCCCGGUGCCGGACGGUUAACAGGAGGGGUCAGCCGCAAGGCGAAGCCCUGAAUCGAAGCCCCGGUAAACGGCGGCCGUAACUAUAACGGUCCUAAGGUAGCGAAAUUCCUUGUCGGGUAAGUUCCGACCUGCACGAAUGGCGUAACGAGUUGGCCGCUGUCUCAACGCGUGGCUCGGUGAAACUGUAGUUCCGGUGAAGAUGCCGGAUACCCGCCGUAAGACGGAAAGACCCCGUGAACCUUUACUGUAACUUGGCAUGGGAUUUUGGUGCAGCUUGUGCAGGAUAGGUGGGAGGCGCUGAUCCUCGCCCGUCAGGGUGGGGGGAGCCAACCUUGAGAUACCACCCUAGCUACGCUGAAAUUCUAACCUACGCUUGUGAUCCAGGUGGGGGACAGUGCCAGGUGGGCAGUUUGACUGGGGCGGUCGCCUCCUAAAAUGUAACGGAGGCGCCCAAAGGUUCCCUCAGCACGGUCGGUAAUCGUGCGACGAGUGCAAAGGCAUAAGGGAGCUUAACUGCGAGACCCACACGUCAAGCAGGUGCGAAAGCAGGGCUUAGUGAUCCGGUGGUCCCGCGUGGAAGGGCCAUCGCUCAACGGAUAAAAGGUACUCCGGGGAUAACAGGCUUAUCGCGUCCAAGAGUCCACAUCGACGACGCGGUUUGGCACCUCGAUGUCGGCUCAUCGCAUCCUGGGGCUGAAGCAGGUCCCAAGGGUUGGGCUGUUCGCCCAUUAAAGCGGUACGUGAGCUGGGUUUAGAACGUCGUGAGACAGUUCGGUCCCUAUCUACGGUGGGCGCAGGAGAUUUGCGGGGAGCUGUCCUUAGUACGAGAGGACCGGGAUGGACGAACCGCUAGUGUCCCAGUUGUUCCGCCAGGAGCAUUGCUGGGUAGCUAUGUUCGGUCGGGAUAAGCGCUGAAGGCAUCUAAGCGCGAAGCCCCCCCCAAGAUCAGAUCUCCCGGGCGCAAGCCCCUAAAGGCCCCUCGAAGACCACGAGGUUGAUAGGCCGGAGGUGUACGUCCCGUGAGGGAUUCAGCUUACCGGUACUAAUCGGCCGUGCGGCUUGACCCC